rnacentral:rRNA from 1 species
CGUGGGCAAUCUGCCCUUCACUCUGGGACAAGCCCUGGAAACGGGGUCUAAUACCGGAUAAUACUCCUGCCUGCAUGGGUGGGGGUUGAAAGCUCCGGCGGUGAAGGAUGAGCCCGCGGCCUAUCAGCUUGUUGGUGGGGUAAUGGCCUACCAAGGCGACGACGGGUAGCCGGCCUGAGAGGGCGACCGGCCACACUGGGACUGAGACACGGCCCAGACUCCUACGGGAGGCAGCAGUGGGGAAUAUUGCACAAUGGGCGAAAGCCUGAUGCAGCGACGCCGCGUGAGGGAUGACGGCCUUCGGGUUGUAAACCUCUUUCAGCAGGGAAGAAGCGCAAGUGACGGUACCUGCAGAAGAAGCGCCGGCUAACUACGUGCCAGCAGCCGCGGUAAUACGUAGGGCGCAAGCGUUGUCCGGAAUUAUUGGGCGUAAAGAGCUCGUAGGCGGCUUGUCACGUCGGAUGUGAAAGCCCGGGGCUUAACCCCGGGUCUGCAUUCGAUACGGGCU